UGCUAGUGAAACUAAACACAUUAAUUACCACGAUUUGGUUCGAAUGGACUUUUGUCAUCAAGCCGUCACCAUUUACCGAGUUAGUCCGUCAACCCAAAAAUAGCCUUAUUUGAAAUGGUUGGAAGGGUGAGUACUGCCAAUAAAACCACUGACAACAAAUCGACAACUUCGAUUUGCUCGAGUUAUCCCAGCAUAAGCUUUCUCAUUUGAGUAUACCAAUGUUCGGUGUUGUUGUUCGAAUUUGGAACAAUGAGAUUAACACACUAGAGUUCCUUGUGGGCUCUGCACCCCUACCCUUUUCGAUGUUACAGUAAUAAAAAAUCUUAAAUCUAUGGUUGAAACUUACAACAUUAUAACCUUCCCCCAUGAUACUGCCAUCAAAGCCAAAAUUCGAAUGGAUAAGAAGGCAUAUGGACACUUUGUUUAGCUCGUUACAAUAAUUCUAGUUAGUGUGAUGGAUGUGUUGUAGUACAAAACAAGAGUCAUGUCUACAAGAAUUUGUUUAAGUUAAUUCAUUAUUUGAAUUAGACUCAAAUUUAAAUAAAACAACAAUGUUUAAAAUAAUGAUUUCAACCAAGUAAAACUUAAAAAUGGUUUGACAAGUAUAAAUAUAGAAAUGUGUUAAGAUUGGAUUUCAUUACUUUCGCUUCACUACACUGCUAUUGAUCUCAUAUAUUUCAAUGCAUAUCAUUUAUUUCUAUGAAAGUAUUAAGGUAAUUCUAAAUCAAUUCCUUGGCUUUAGAACAUAAAGAUUUCAACUCAAAGUGAUUCCCAUUCUUGAUUGAAUGAAUCUUUGUCUUAAGUGUGAGAUUUUAACUUAAUUAGAACCUUAGAUCUAUUUCUAACAUAUAAAAGAGAAGAUGAUUUGAUUUGACAAUAAUUUAAGACUAAUUUAAGAAAAAUGCGAUUUAUCUACCGAUAUUUACAUACAGAUUUUGAUCCAUAGGUAAUAUAGAUAUUACAUACGAAUUUUAUAUACAGAUUUUUAGAAAUGAGUUACAUACAAAUUUUAUGUACAAAUUUUUACCUACCAAUUUUUUCGUAUGUAAAAUCUGUAAGUAAAUGAAACAAAAUUUACCUACAAAUUUUAAAUACAAGCUUCAAAUAAUUUAUUAUUAAAAAUUAAAAUUAAAAUUUAGUUCUACCAUUUCCUCUAGAUUUUUCCCUCUAGUUCCUUUUCUAUAAGAAGAUGAAAACCUUAAUGUUGUGCCUCAUUCACACCAUCUCUACCGCUCGUGGGGCUCCAUAUCUUGUUUGACGCGUCCCUUUGUAAUCACUCUCCUUCUUGAAGUUGUUCAUGGAGGAGAUAUGGACUGGUGUUCUCCUAUCAUAGAAGAUCUCACUAGUAAAAAAUAUGGAUAUUAACUCGCAUAUUUGGCAUCGAUUUCGUUGCAACCGAAGCAUAAAAUACCUUGGUGGAAUUUUUGCAAUUAUCACAAACAUAUAUGCCUCGGUUCAAAAAGAACCAAAGCCUAAAGGGGCCUAUGGCUUAUGUUCUAUAUAAAUAACCAAGGUUAAAUCCCACUGCAAAUUUGACUUUUCAGUUAACUCAUUUUUUAACUAGGUCAACAACCUCGGUUGUUUAGAGAACCAAGACCAUAGAGUCCCUAUACUUCAGUUAUGCCGCGAACUGAAGUGCAUGUUAGUGUUUAUAGAGAUAAAUCUACAAAAACAUUUUCAAAAGGAAACUACAUCAUUUAUGUAUUUUAACCAAGCUUUAAGUCAAAGAUGAUAUUUAUUACAACAUGUUGACUAAAAUAGCAAAUAGACAAUGUUCAACCUACAAUAAAAAUCACUAACAGAUGGAGAUGGCAAUCGCGAUAGUGGCAGUAGUGGCAACUGUAGCAUGUGAGAUGAUGGCAAUGGGGGGUAGUGCGAGAUGCGACGAUGGCAGCAACAACGCGAGAUGCGACCGCGGUAGCUCUAGAUCGAGAGGUGACAGAGCCGGAUUGAGAGGUGACGGUGCAAGAUUGAGAGGUGACGGACGACUCUCGAUCGAGAGUUAACGGCUCCAAAUCAAGAGGCAAUGCAGAGGCAGCCUAUAAGAGGCAAGGCGGCGACCUAUUGGAGACAAGAUGACAGCCUACGAGAAGUGAUUUGAGAGAGAUGAUACGACAAAAGAAGAAAUCUCUAGAGAUAAAAGAAAAUGAAAAGAGAAGAAAAAAAUAAAAGAGAAGGGUUCUCUUUUGAAUAAAAAAGAAUAGAAGAAGAAAGAUAAUCACGAAAAAGUUUUCAUUUUAGCUAAACCUAAAUUUAAGUCUGAUAGCAAAUU
rnacentral:lncRNA from 1 species